rnacentral:rRNA from 1 species
GAUGAACGCUGACAGAAUGCUUAACACAUGCAAGUCAACUUGAACUUCGGUUUGGGUGGCGGACGGGUGAGUAACGCGUAAAGAACUUGCCUCACAGUUAGGGACAACAUUUGGAAACGAAUGCUAAUACCUGAUAUUAUGAUUUUAGGGCAUCCUAGAAUUAUGAAAGCUAUAUGCGCUGUGAGAGAGCUUUGCGUCCCAUUAGCUAGUUGGAGAGGUAACGGCUCACCAAGGCGAUGAUGGGUAGCCGGCCUGAGAGGGUGAACGGCCACAAGGGGACUGAGACACGGCCCUUACUCCUACGGGAGGCAGCAGUGGGGAAUAUUGGACAAUGGACCAAGAGUCUGAUCCAGCAAUUCUGUGUGCACGAUGAAGUUUUUCGGAAUGUAAAGUGCUUUCAGUUGGGAAGAAAAAAAUGACGGUACCAACAGAAGAAGUGACGGCUAAAUACGUGCCAGCAGCCGCGGUAAUACGUAUGUCACAAGCGUUAUCCGGAUUUAUUGGGCGUAAAGCGCGUCUAGGUGGUUAUAUAAGUCUGAUGUGAAAAUGCAGGGCUCAACUCUGUAUUGCGUUGGAAACUGUGUAACUAGAGUACUGGAGAGGUAAGCGGAACUACAAGUGUAGAGGUGAAAUUCGUAGAUAUUUGUAGGAAUGCCGAUGGGGAAGCCAGCUUACUGGACAGAUACUGACGCUGAAGCGCGAAAGCGUGGGUAGCAAACAGG